UACGAGGGGGGCAAAUGUUGUUCGGAAUCACUGGGCGUAAAGGGAGCGUAGGCGGCCUGUUAAGUCGAACGUGAAAUCCCCGGGCUCAACCCGGGAACUGCGUCCGAUACUGGCAGGCUUGAAUCCGGGAGAGGGAUGCGGAAUUCCAGGUGUAGCGGUGAAAUGCGUAGAUAUCUGGAGGAACACCGGUGGCGAAGGCGGCAUCCUGGACCGGCAUUGACGCUGAGGCGCGAAAGCCAGGGGAGCAAACGGG
rnacentral:rRNA from 1 species